CAAUUCUGGCCACAGGGGGGAGCAGCUGCUUCAUCAUCCACUCUGACGGCACUUCCUCAUUCCAAGUCGUAAAUUAGUUAAACUUGCCUCCCCACUUUUAAGUGGUACCUUAUUUCCUACUUGAUAGAUGCAACUAUCUUUCGGGUUGCUAGGUCAGCAACGAGCAGGGGCUAUUAUUUUUUUUUUUAAUUGACGGGUGCUCACCCCGCCACGGUCUGGCCUCGAACUCAUGACCUCAUGGUCAGAGUGAUUUAUUGCAGCAGGCUGCUCAACAGCCUGCGCCACAGCCCAGCCCUGCUAAAUGUAGUGAACAUAAGGUAUAACACACACUGCACACUUAUAACACUUUGAUAUCACUUUAACUGCCACGGCUCUCUGCUAGUAAGUUCUGGGAUUCCUAAUUUUGUGCAGCAAGUCAGCCCAGGUUAUUUGAAGGAUCGUAUCUCUCUCUACAAACCUGUUAGAAAUCUAUAAUCAUCUGAGGAAGGCGUUGUCUUCCCCUGUCCAUCUCAAGCUCAUUUCAUGGGGAAAAGGGAGAGGUCGGUGACUGUUCCCAGACCUUGGAACUCCUUCCCAAGAGAGACCAAGAUGGCCCCAUCCUUGUUUGCCUUUGACAGUACUCAGAAAAACCAAGGCAUAUUCUAGACGGACCGGAUCUAAAAACUAGCCGAAACAGAUGCAGAGAAUCGACCUCAUCCAAAUAUUCCUGGAGUUUCGUGGGAGCCACCUGUUCCAAGUCUAUUGUCCAGUAGUAAGGAUUAAUGGAUAUGAAGCUAAGAAAGGGUGAUGAAAUGCUUAUAGACCACAGCUACUCUUGAGAUGGAUGCUGAUGAAAAAGAUCUCCCAUUCUUGUCCAUUCAGGUGUUGGUAAUGCAAACCAGAUGCAGUGUUGUUUGAUCCUUGGCUACAGUGUUGAUUAUUGAGCCUAUAGUAUACAGGUGUUGUACAGAUGAUGGUAACAGAUGUGUUUAUUGGUGUGUUGAUAAUAAAUCAACUUGUGUUAUGAACACCUAUAUGAAGACUGAAUUCUAUACUCAAGUCGACAUACUACCAUCUGGCAUAAUUUUCUAAUCUCAAGGGCUCUUUAAUAUCUUAUUCCGCUGUGAAAUUGCAAGGCAAAAUAUUUACCAUAAGAAUUACAGAAAGAAGAACACAUUCCAUGCUUAGCAGUCAGAGGAGUAUAAGGUAGUGUGGGCUUAUCCAUGGAAAUGAAGUCCACGUUUCCUCAAAUAUGUUAAACGUUUGCAGUCUGUUGCCAAUCUGACUAACCAACCAUACAUACACUGAUGAAAUUUAUCCCAGCUUGUGAUACUGGCAAACAGUCCCUUCUCUAUCUUAUUAUA
rnacentral:lncRNA from 1 species